AAUCCACUCAAGCCUGGCUUGGUAUUGGGCGUCGGGGACCCCCCGCGCCUCCAUUUCGCCGGCUGGCCGUCGUUUUGACUUAGCGUUGUGACACAUGUCGCUGACGAAAUCGACUGACUGCGCCGUUAGAAUUCUCUUGAAUAUCAAUCGAUAUCCAGUAAA
rnacentral:misc_RNA from 1 species